rnacentral:rRNA from 1 species
GGGAUUACAGUCACUUUGAAACCCCGAUUCCCGUACGAUCAGCGAGGUUAAGCAAUGUCGAGCCUGGUCAGAACCUAGAUGGGUGACCGUUUGGGAACAUCAGCUGUU